rnacentral:lncRNA from 1 species
AAAGAGCAUAGACAUUAAUAUGUUCAUAUUUAAUAUAUUUGAGUGAGUAUACUAUGUGCUCCUUUUUAUUUUGUAAAUGGGCAGGACAGAGGAAAAAAGGAAGGAACAAGAGACAGAAACAGAUGGACUUGACCCUGAGAUGAAGGCCCUGCAGAUGGCAAGAUCCCUGCAGGAAUACUCAGCAGUCCAAGAUAAGAUUUAUGGUGCUUUGAGGAACCAAAACUGGGCAGCUUGCCUGGCCCUAUUCAGAAGCUGAGAAAAAUGCUAAAGACCAGGACCUUAAAUUGUUCAUUUUUGACAAGGCUUAGAGAAUAAGGGUGAAGGAGCAGUUGUGUGAGGAGACCACUGACACUUUUCUUUUUCCUCUUUUCUUCUUCCUUCAGCUCAAGCCAGGGCAGAACAGCUGCAGGGACAGUGACAGUGAAAGCGCCAGUGGAGAAUCCAAAGGCUUCCACAGGAGCAGCUCCCGGGAAAGGCUCAGCGACGUAAGUUAAAAAAAACUGAAACCACCAGACCACACAUCCCUUGAGUCCAGUUUCAGUUCACCAGCACAUCCCUUCAUGUCAUUUUGUAAAUACCCAAGCAUUUUUCCUCUCUCGGCAGACACAUAUAUGAGCCUUGCUUUAUAGUAUUGUUCUGUUUUCUAGUUUGACUUAAAAUGUGUUUUAAAGAAUUAUAAGGUACAGAAGGAAGUGAUGGUACUUUUGGUGUCUGUGUUACAAAUGGAAGACCUAGUCUGGCAGCGCUGCAGCUGGGAGGUGACCUGCUUAAAUGUGGGCCUUUGUCACUUUCUCACCUGUGAGAUCUGUAACAGCCCCUUUCUUUGGUUUUAUUCCUGUUGGAAGGGAUGACUAACCCACCACUUACUUUCCUUCUGAUUUCUAGAGGAAAACCCCCGUGAGCACACACUACAUGCCUCUUAAGGGGGCCUGUCCACCUUCUAGACCUGUUCUAACCACUCUCCAGGCCCCUGUGCACCAGCAAGGCACAGAACUACUUCUUCCCUCUUGGGGUGGUCUCACACCCCUCCCUAAUGUGUCGUAGAGCAGGAUCCUUGACCCAUCUUUGCACCUGAGAGCAACAUUUUAAAACUUUCCUUUAAAAUAGAUCAAGUAGGGGGAAAAUUUUAUUCGUGAUAGCAAAAAAGGAACAUUAACAGGUUGAGACAGUAUUGUUUUUUUCCUCCCAACCUGUUUGAUUUAUUUGCAAAAAAAACUUUUACUAGAGGAAGAAAAUAAUUCUACUGUCACUAAAAAAAUAAUUUGGGUAACCAUUGAAGAGCAUUCCCAGAAAUAACACCAUUUUACCUUUUGUGAUUAGCAUACUCAAUUUGGGAAAUUUCUGAUUCUUUUCUUUUUUCUCUUCUUGUCUCUUCUCAUCACUUCUUUCCCUCUCCCUCUCUCCGCCUUCCCUCAUCUUUCUUUCCUUUCUUCCUCCCGGAAGCUGCAGAUUACCCUUUAGUCACCACAGGUGGUGAGUUCAGGAUUCUAACCAUCUUUCUUUUUCUUUUUAAAUUGAGUUAUAAUUAAUAUGGGCUUCCCUGGUAGCUUCAAUCUGCCUGCAAUACAGGAAACCCCAGUUUGAUUCCUGGGUCAGGAAGA